rnacentral:rRNA from 1 species
UCUUCGGAGAGCACACGACGGCGCACGGGUGAGUAACGCGUAUGCAACCUACCUUUUUCAGGAAGAUAGCUCCCGGAAACGGGAAUUAAUAUUCCAUAUUCUAUAUAUAUUGCCUGAUAUUGUAUAGUAAAGUAUUCACGGAAAAAGAUGGGCAUGCGUGUCAUUAGCUAGUUGGUGAGAUAACAGCUCACCAAGGCGACGAUGACUAGGGGUUCUGAAAGGAUGAUCCCCCACACUGGUACUGAGACACGGACCAGACUCCUACGGGAGGCAGCAGUGAGGAAUAUUGCGCAAUGGAGGCAACUCUGACGCAGCCAUGCCGCGUGCAGGAGGACGGCCCUAUGGGUUGUAAACUGCUUUUCUUAACUAAGAAAGAUGGAUAUUUAUAUUCAUUUGACUGGUUUUGGAAUAAGCAUCGGCUAACUCCGUGCCAGCAGCCGCGGUAAUACGGAGGAUGCAAGCGUUAUCCGGAUUCACUAGGUUUAAAGGGUGCGUAGGCGGAAGGAUAAGUCAGUGGUGAAAUCUUGCGGCUUAACCGUAAAAUUUGCCAUUGAUACUGUUUUUCUUGAGUGUGGUUGAGGUAGGCGGAAUGAGUAAUGUAGCGGUGAAAUGCUUAGAUAUUACUCAGAACACCGAUUGCGUAGGCAGCUUACUAAGCCAUUACUGACGCUGAUGCACGAAAGCGUGGGUAGCAAACAGGAUUAGAUACCCUGGUAGUCCACGCAGUAAACGUUGAUUACUCGUUGUUGGCAAUACAUCGUCAGCGACUGAGCAAAAGCAUUAAGUAAUCCACCUGGGGAGUACGUCAGCAAUGAUGAAACUCAAAGGAAUUGACGGGGGCCCGCACAAGCGGAGGAACAUGUGGUUUAAUUCGAUGAUACGCGAGGAACCUUACCUGGGCUUAAAUGUAGAGCGACGGACCGGGAAACUGGUCUUUCUUCGGACGAUCUACAAGGUGCUGCAUGGCUGUCGUCAGCUCGUGCCGUGAGGUGUCGGGUUAAGUCCCAUAACGAGCGCAACCCUUAUCAUUAGUUGCCAGCGGGUAAUGCCGGGGACUCUAAUGAAACUGCCGGUGUAAACCGAGAGGAAGGUGGGGAUGACGUCAAGUCAGCACGGCCCUUAUGUCCAGGGCUACACACGUGUUACAAUGGUCGGUACAAGGGGCAGCUACUAGGCGACUGGAUGCUAAUCUCGAAAGCCGAUCUCAGUUCGGAUCGGAGUCUGCAACUCGACUUCGUGAAGCUGGAUUCGCUAGUAAUCGCGCAUCAGCCAUGGCGCGGCGAAUACGUUCCCGGGCAUUGUACACACCGCCCGUCAAGCCAUGG